GUGUGUUCUGACUGCACUGGUGAUACUUAUUCAGAUGGAUCAUUAACAUCCUGCCAGCCACACACACAGUGUAAAUCCUUAGGUCUUCAAGAACUUAGACCAGGAACUCAUUUGUCCAAUUCUGAAUGUGGACCACAAUCCUCAAGAAUAGAACCUGGAAUCAUCAUUGGUGUUGUGGCAUCAGUCCUAAUAGCAAUAAUAAUAAUAAUAAUAAUAAGAUUUGUAAUUCUAAGGAAGGAAAGAAGUCCAACAACAGUGACUUUUUCUCCAGUGACAGUAAAUGCUGUAGAGGCAUCAUCAGAUUUAGAGGAAACACCAAGCAAUGUAGUACAAUGAAACAGAAGAAAGUACAGCAUCUUGCAGGUGUUAGUUUUGUAAAUGAUUCAAGCUCUGACCGCACUCAUCAUUACAAAUGCUACCUGAGGAAUGGCAGACCAAGGAGCUGCUCUCUCUUAUGACUCCACUGUCCGAUGAAGAAACAAAGCCGCUUGAUGACAAUGGAUCCUCCUCAAGAGGUCAAAGGGCAGACAAACCUCUUAGGCAGUAACAUCCCAGUCUGCUUCAGUGGCUCAAAAAUCAGGAGCAAACCCAGACUCAGAGAUGGAUAGCCUUCCUCUCCUCUGAGGACCCAGCGAGGGUGGAGCACAGUGAGACACUUCUACAGCCAGAGAGCUUAUACAUAUUUGGUGGCCUGAUUGCAUCCAGACUUUGUCAAAUUCUGAACACAAUGCCCAUCCUGGCAGAUCUGAACCUAAUGCGAGCACAAUGGGACUUUCGUGAAUCCAGACCUAACGCAGCUUGGAGUGAUCGGAUGACAGGAGUCAUCAAAGUAAUAGAUAUGUAAGAUGCUACAUAUCUAUUACAUUGAGUGUUGUAUAUACAUAACAUGACUAAAUAUGUUUAUUUCUGUGUUGCACUGGCAGUCAAGAAAUGGAACAGCAAGGCCACAGAACAUGGCAUACGCAGAGCUGUGGGAGACCACCUGAAGCAUUCCCCUGGUAGAGCCAGAGGAUGGUGUUUACCACACCAACACCUUCAACAGGCUUGAAAAGUGGGAUUGAUCUGUUUGAUCCAUUUUAUUUGUUUCAGUUUUCAUUAGUUGAAUCCUUUGACUUAUUGUUGAUUUAAAAAAAUAAUAACAAAAAUGCACUGGAUUGGUUCAAAUGUGAUACUAAACUUACAUCAUUUUGACACAGAGGAAGAUAUACUGAAUUUAUACUGUUUUUGAUUCUAAGAUGAACCAAAAUAUAUGUUACUUUAGCACAUUUCUGUUCAUUAAUUUUGCAAGAAUGUUGAUUGGUCGGUCGGUCAUUGGGUUCAUUAGUUUAGCAAUAUAUUGAUGCCAUUGAUUAAAAGAGUAAGAAUAUGAUGCAAUGCAAUGCAAUGCACGCUUGUUUUAGUCCAUUGUUUGCAAAAAAUAUCAUCGUAAAAAAAUUGUCAGUUGGUUGCAUAAAUAAUGAAGAUUACUAAAUGUUACAUGAAAUAUCAAAACCGAAUUGAAACGCCUUUGAUAAAAUGUAAUGGCAAUAAUUCACUUAAUGGUAAGGCAUGGAAUAAUGGACGUUUGAAAUAUGAGCAGGUGAUGAUUCGAGUCAUGGUUCUUCAGUAGUGGAAUAAAGACAAUUAGAACAAAUGUUGUACAGAUAUACUGUGUGUAAAUACUGGAGUGAUGUAUGAUUGUUAAUAAAAUUGUCCAUAUACCAAAAAACA